UACGUAGGAGGCAAGCGUUGUCCGGAAUUACUGGGCGUAAAGCGCGUGUAGGUGGUGGGACAAGUCUGCUGUGAAAGUGCCUGGCUUAACCGGGCGAGGUCGGCGGAAACUGUCCGACUCGAGGACGGUAGAGGGGGGUGGAAUUCCCGGUGUAGUGGUGAAAUGCGUAGAGAUCGGGAGGAACACCAGAGGCGAAGGCGGCGACCUGGACAGCUACUGACACUCAACUACGAAAGCGUGGGGAGCAAACAGG
rnacentral:rRNA from 1 species